CCUACGGGAGGCUGCAGUGAGGAAUAUUGGUCAAUGGGCGCGAGCCUGAACCAGCCAAGUAGCGUGAGGGAAGACGGUCCUAUGGAUUGUAAACCUCUUUUGUCGAGGAGUAAAAGGCGCCACGCGUGGCGUUCCGAGAGUACCCGAAGAAAAAGCAUCGGCUAACUCCGUGCCAGCAGCCGCGGUAAUACGGAGGAUGCGAGCGUUAUCCGGAUUUAUUGGGUUUAAGGGGUGCGCAGGCGGAAGAUCAAGGCAGCGGUAAAAUUGAGAGGCUCAACCUCUUCGAGCCGUUGAAACUGGUUGUCUUGAGUGAGCGUGAAGUAUGCGGAAUGCGUGGUGUAGCGGUGAAAUGCUUAGAUAUCACGCAGAACUCCGAUUGCGAAGGCAGCAUACCGGCGUGCCACUGACACUCAUGCACGAAAGUGUGGGUAUCGAACAGGAUUAGAUACCCCUGUAGUC
rnacentral:rRNA from 1 species